UCACCGUUGAGUAUCGGAACGUCGGAAAUGUCUCGACGACCGACGCGUCGAGUCCACGAGCCUGUGGACGGCUCAGGGAAAGCCAGUUGCCGCCGACGUCGAGGGGGUGGUUGUUGCUGCCCAUGCAUCGUUCAAGACACCUACGGAUAUAGAUGGAGAAAAACCCGAGAGCGAAGAAGACGCUGACCAGGACGAUCAUGAGUAUUGCCAUGGUUGGGUCGAAUCGAGAGCUUUCUCCAUACAUAUCCGAACCGUUGUGAGUUUCAGCUGAAACUUGGCCUGAGAAGAGCACGAGAAAGAGAAGUAGCCGUAGACUCGAACCAUGGUGACCAAUGAUUGAACGGCUGAGGAUGAUUCUUCUUCGGGUGUUCAUGAGGACCAAGCUUUACCCGGUUUGGCUCUCUGGUCCAUGCAACGCUCUUAUGUUUUUUUGGGGAAGGACAGAAAUAUUUAUUGAUGUGAUGAUCAAAGGAAAUGGUAUGAUAAGAUAUCAUAAUUAAAAAGGAGAGGAACAAUAAGAGAAACUGCGAUUUGGGGUUGCUCAAUGGCUACAAAGGGCCUUUGUGGUUGGUAGGUUGACUCUGAAGGUUUAACAAUGGCUCUAUUUAGAAGAUGUUUGCAUCAUAACUAAUUAAUAUGUUAGAUGUAACAUUUUCGUAUAAAGUAUAUGUUAUGAUUGUGAUUUUUCCAUCAAUAAGUUGGGAUGUAAUUAUCAAUGGAGCAACCGGUUAGUGCAAAUAUGACCAAGAUUUGUUAACGUUCCGGUUGUCCAAAUGUGUCCGGUUUGUAAUUGUGUAAUUUUUAUUUUCCACAGUAUUUCAGGCUUAUUCCACUUUCAAGCAAAUGUUUUUGUUUCGGAUUUUAUAAUUUAACACGAACAAUAUGAGUGAAAUAAACUUGUUUUAAUGUCGGUAAUCCAUCCACAUCAAAUUUCAAAUCAUAACUUUAUUUCUUACAAAUAUUUUGAUGUAUCAUAGAAUCUCAAUGGUAACCUCUAGAAAAAACCAGUGGCCGUGUGAGAUGGUGGUUCUUUGGUCAAAUAUGAUUUUAAAACUUCAGCAUAUGCAUUUUGCACUAUGGGUUUAUAACGCAAUCACUCACGAAAGUUUCACGUUACUAACAAAAUAAAAUAUGUCAUCUCUAAUUUGGCUUUGCAUCGUGCUUCAUCCCAUGUGGUCAUCACGUCGUUAUCCAAUUAUAGGUUAUGUAUGCAAUAACUCUAUUGGAUCCGUGCUCUUGUUGAUUGUCUUAAGAAAAUAGAAAGGUUGUAGAGCCUCAAUCUAAUCAUAUCGAUGGAUAAUGAUUGGAUCAGAGAGGUGGUGACUUUGAAUAUGGGUGACAUAAUAUUAUAAGGAUAAGAUGAGUAUAGUUUUGAGGAAAAUGUGAAUAUAUACUAUUAAAAUGCUCUAUUUGGAUUAGUUAAUUAAACUACAUAUAAUACCGUCCAAGGUCGUUUUCAGUUUUUUUUUCUAUAACAAAAUUGUAUUACUAAUUUUUAAUAUUAUCUUCUUGACUAAAUUGUUAUGUAUAAAUCAUGUGAUUUCAUGUGAUUUUGUAUUUUCUUGUUUAAGUUGUAAUAUAGUAUAUUAUAUAUAUAUAUAUAUACAUGUCUGCUAAUCUUCUUUUGACUUAGAACUCGAUUUGUUUAAAGCAGAAAGAAUGGAUGUGAGUGCGGCUAUUAAUUUUGUGAAAGAUGAUAGUUAUUAAUUUAUUAUAAGUGUCACCAAAAGGUUUAUAUGCUUCCUAUACAUGUGAAAGCCAAAAAUGUUUCAUAAAAAUAUUUUUGACUGGUUCAUAAAAAAUGAUUACUAAUUUCAUUAUCUAAUUAAUACAUGUAUUGAACAUAUUAUAAAAACCUGUAUACUAAUUCCACCACCGCAAACACUAUUUAGCAAGAUGUUAGAGCAUAAAACAUUAUAAAAACAUGUAUAAAUAAUUUCUGAUUGAUUUCAUACAAAUAUCAUCGCGAACUUGGUGGCUUUUGUUCUGAUCAAACGAGAGAUUGUUACUCAGAUAAUCUUAGAAAGUUACACAAUUACUAAAACACCUCUUUUAAAAAUUACUAAACCUUCUGAAGUUUUUUUUUUAAAGACUAAACCUUCUCAAGUUAUCGGUUAUAAUUGCUUCAUAGUUCUCAAACUGUUUUAUACGAGAAAUAAUAAUUCUGUCAUAUAUAAUUGCUGAAAAAGAUCCAUAUCUUUAUUAAUAAAGCAGGGUUUUCUCUCACCUCCUGCAGCCACCUCAGCAUCAGAGCAUAGGGCAAUUUUAGCCACGUGGCAACAAAUUUUCCAACUUUCUCGCGUUGGUUUUUUAUGUGGGCAACUGAACUCUGGUGGGCUUUUAUUAAUUUCUUUACGAGCCCACAUGUUCUUAGGGUUUGUCCAUUAUCGCUGGUAUGAAAAAUUGCUCGACUUUUGUCGGAGAUGUCUAACCGACGCGCUGCUGAUUCCCAUUCACCGUAGCUGCUUACGUUUCACUUUGUAGUAAUGUCAAGAAAUGAAAUUAACCCACUAAUUCCGCCAAGUCUUCUUCAAUGGAGCUUUAGUUAUCACCUUAAGCAGCUCAUUCAUUAUACAUACACACCGUCUGAGAGACUCCGCUAAAGCCUUUUCCUUUUCCUGAAUCCAAAGCUCGAGUUCUAUCUCACAGAAACCUUCCGACCAUGGCGACUUCUUGAAUACAUUUUUCUAAGUUGAAGUCUGAGUCCUGACCGAUGCCGACAGAUGGUUGAGACAAGGUGAACUUAUUGAUAUUGACAUGCUUCUAACUGAUGAGAAGGCGAUGCACACCCAUGUAUCUAUCAAUGUUAACCGUCUUAACACUUUCAAACACAUCUUGAAAGAAGGCUUGAUUCAUGAGUUAAGUGUUUUUCAUGUUCGUGGAUCUGGCGAUUUGUUGACUCUAACGGCUGCAGAAGCAACAGGUAAACCGAUAACCUGUUUUUUUUUUGUCGAAAUGCUUGAUAAAACUAAAACUGUUGUCAGAUUUCAGAAACUACAAGAUUCAAUGCAGAUUGAUUUGAUCAUCAGUUUGGUGUUUGGUAGUAAGAAUAUGUUUCUGGCUUCUUUUUGUUUGGGUGAAUGCAGAUUGAUUUGAUCAUCAAUUGACUGAGUAAACAUCCAGGAUCAAAAUAUUAAAGCAAACAAACAAAGUUCUAUGAUUAUCACUUAUCACAUUAUAUAUUUGACAUUGAAUUUUCUCUCUUUGCAUGUCGUAGUAGAAAUCAAAAGCAAACACGUUGGAGGAGCCUUCUCCAUCAAAAGCAAAGGUAUUACCAAAAAAAAUGAUUAUAACUGAAACAGAAUCGCAGAAGAAGAUCAGUAUUUUUGGAAAACAAUGUACUGAGUCAUGGAACAAAUCAUUUUUCUUGAACUUGCGGAAAAAAUUGCACCGAUCCCAACUGAGAGCUUUAGGUCCCGCAACUAUGAUCAACUCAUGUUAAUAGCCAAUACGAAAACAGAUCUGCCAGGAAAAGUUAUGUAUAUUAAAAUCAUUUUCAAAGAAGAGAAACAUAGUACUCAACGCAUCACGGCAACCAUAAUGAUUGAAAGGUCUACGACAACUUUCCAGCUUUAAUUUUCAUGACCCGUUAAGCAUAGUUGUUCACUUCUUGGUUCCACAUGGAUAAUAGUGUUACUCUUUGUCUAUGCAGGGACGCAAGUAAAUUUCUGAGUUUAUUCGACGGCCUUGCCAUGCUCCUGCAUGAAAAUUUGUUUGCCUCUGGUGUAGAACCAAAGGUGUACGUUGCUAGAAAUAUCAACCCUAAGUUAGUUGGAGGUGAGAAGUUACAAUCUGCUAUGCUAUAUAUGCUAUUUUCUUGGGUUUAUCUUCUCUACUAUAGUCUACAUAUUUGCUUAAUAUAAGUUAACCUAAGGCUUUAGACAGCUUACGAUUCACGCUUGGCAACUAUAUAUAAAUGUCUGACUGAAUAUUGUAGUUCUUCUUAGCUGUUUAUACUAUAGUUCUAAGCUUCUCUCCUGGCAGUUUUAAUACUAAAGUUCUACAGCUUCUCAUUUUUUAGUUUACCUUAAGAUUGACAAAUCUCCUGAUUCACGCUUGGAACAUCAUAGUUGUGAUUGUUGUUUUUUUCUCUCUGAAUUUGUCACUUAUGUGCAACUUAACACCAAUCGUGGGCUUCACACUGCAUAUUGGCUAACAAAGGAGUGUACAAAAGUCGACUCUCACACCUACGGUGCAGACCAUGUUUUUAUAAAAUUUAGCAUAAUAAUGAAAUUGUAGUACUACUGAUUUCCUCGCGUGUUCAGGGUAUUUGAUUUUCUUUUGUUUUCGUACCAUCCAAAUAAACUAAGUUUUUAAACAUAUAUUUAAAUAAAAACUCCUACCUUGCAUGAGUGGCGAAACUAAUUUGAAGGUUAAACUUAGCCACUACCUUUUUAUCAGUUACCAACAAUUAAUAGCAUCCACCAUUAAAAAUAAUACACUUUGGAAAAACCUUGAGUGAAAAGAUUCUUAUCUUUCUCUAGCAAUGGUGGAGAAAAGAUCUGGUGGAGUUUGGAGAACAUAAUACAUAGCAAUCUCAAAGAGUUGUGAAGAAAUGUUGAAUAGCAAGCCGUCCCAUUCCACAUAGCUAAAGACAUGCUUUGAAGUUUAUACAAACAACCAACACCACAAUCCACAAGACACUACAUAAACGCAAUUAAUCACCCAAGAAAUGUUAACUGGCACAGCACAACUAUAAACAGGCAGCCAAUACAAAUAUAAAACAACAAAUAAUAACUGAAAUGUUGUUUCAGUUAAUCUAUUAACUUAUAUGAAGUAAAAAUUAUGUCAUUUAUGAUAAUCAAGUUUUCCAUUGAUUUAAAUUAAUUAUAUUAAUGAAACAACAAAUACUCAAAUAUGGAAUUAAUUUGGUUUUUAUAUUUAUAUAAUUUAAGUCACAGUUUAUAUGUAUAAUUAUAUAAUAGUCAAAACAGUUUAAUUCAUCUAUUAAAUAUAUCUCACAUUGAUUUUAAAUUUUCAGAUGCUUUAUAAUAAAAAGGGUUAAUACAACCUUUUAAAAUCUAUUUUUUUUUAUAAUACACAAUUUUAGAAUAUUGGUGAUUUGAAAAAUAUUUUUGUUUUGAUUGACCAUUUCAAAAAUAUAAGAUAGUUAUUACCUACAUUGCAUGGAAGCUUCGUCGGACGUCCGCUUUCCGCUUCGGAACCGGAAUCGGAAUCGGAACCUUGUGGAAGCUUACGGAAUCUCGAUUCCAAAACGUUUUCCAAAAUAUUAUCUUUAAAAACACGUUGGAAGUUUAUGAUUCUGUUUUGGAAUCACGCUUCCGUUCUUAAAAAAAAAUACAAUAUCAUAUAUCACUAAAAAAUAUAAUCGUAGUUUUUAAUUUAUAUAAAAUUCAAAUUUUAAUAGUAAUGAAUAGAGAGAAUAUAAAUAUGUAAAUAUUAAAAUUAAUACUAUAAAUUAUCUUUAUGUAUUGAGGUUUUUAUUAAACAUAUAUCAUAUAUU